AUUGAACGCUGGCGGCAGGCUUAACACAAGCAAGUCGAGCGAGCGGCGGACGGGUGAGUAAUGUCUGGGAAACUGCCUGAUGGAGGGGGAUAACUACUGGAAACGGUAGCUAAUACCGCAUACCAUCAGAUGUGCCCAGAUGGGAUUAGCUAGUAGGUGGUGUAAUGGCUCAACUAGGCGACGAUCCCUAGCUGGUCUGAGAGGAUGACCGGCGGCACUGUAAGUGAGACACGGGCCAAACGCCUACGGGAGGCGGCAGGUGGGAAUAUGGAUGAGUGGGCGAAGGCCUGAUGCAUGGAUGCCGCGUGUAUUAGGAAGGCAUUAGGGUAUUAAAGUACAUACAGCGUGGAGGCGUUACACGUAGAAGAAGCACCGGCUAACGCCGUGCCAGCAGCCGCGGUAAUUC
rnacentral:rRNA from 1 species